UACAGAGGGUGCGAGCGUUGUCCGGAAUCACUGGGCGGAAAGGGCGCGUAGGUGGCGACCCAAGUCGAUGGUGAAAGCUCGCCGCUCAACGGCGAGUCGGCCACCGAUACUGGGUUGCUCGAGCACUGUAGAGGCUAAUGGAAUUCCGGGUGUAGCGGUGGAAUGCGUAGAGAUCCGGAAGAACACCGGUGGCGAAGGCGGUUAGCUGGGCAGUUGCUGACACUGAGGCGCGACAGCGUGGGGAGCAAACAGG
rnacentral:rRNA from 1 species